UCGGCCCAUCUGUUCCCAGGCCCUGAUCCCAGCCUCCAAGCCUGUUUUGCCGGCACACACGGAGAGGAAAUGACGGCACCUUUAAAGACGCAAUGCUUUUGUUAUGGAGUCACCUAUUGAGCCAAGACAUGGGGACCUGAGCGACACGUAGUGUUGUGGAUUGGUGUUAGGAAGGGAUGGCCUGGGAAGGCUGAGGAUGGAGGCGAGGAAAAGGGAAGCUGCAGGCUGCUGUGAGGGGCACCCCUGGUCAAAUGGCACUUUGGGGAUGAAGAGACUUGGGAUCCACUUGUAACGCCAGCCGCACACUGUGGGGGAUCUCUGGGGACACUUCUGUCACUUGUGUUUUAUUAUACUAAGAGCCUAGAAGUUUGAUCUAAGAAUGGCUGGGAGUCAGCAGCCGGCGCUGUGGAGCCCUAAUUUGUGGUAACAAUAUUGAAAUAUGGAAAUCCUCCCACACCAGUUUGUAGUAGUGCUGCAUGAGCCCCUCUCUUGGGCAUCCCCGCCCACCAAUAUCACCUCAUAAUCCGGCAUAAUCUGGCACCAGGGGAGCCAAAUACCUGGCAUGGGGGAGCUUGGAGGGGGCUGUUCCAGCCCAACGUGGGCAGCCCCAGCGGGUGACUGGUAUCCCGAAGCUGUUAGUGCUCUGAGCAUCACCUCUGCUCUGCCAUGGGGCACUGUUGGGUGUCCUGGGCUGCAGGUGUCCUGGGCUGAGGUCAUGUGGUGUCAGGUGUGCUAGGCUGAGGUUGUGUGGGUGUCCGGUGUCCUGGGCUGUGGGUGUCCUGGGCUGAGGUCAUGUGGUGUCAGGUGUGCUAGGCUGAGGUUGUGUGGGUGUCCGGUGUCCUGGGCUGCGGGUGUCCUGGGCUGAGGUCAUGUGGUGUCAGGUGUGCUAGGCUGAGGUUGUAUGGGUGUCAGGUGUGCUGGGCUAGGUUGUGGACAUCGGUGUCCUGGGCUAGGUCGUGCGGAUGUCAGGUGUGCUGCAGGUGUCCUGGGCUGAGGUUGUGCAGUGUCAGUCAUCCUGGCACUGCCUGUCCACCCAGGCCUGGGCCUGCUUCUGGAACCCCCACGGGUUCUCUGGGGCUUGGGUGCUCACCAUCCUGGCCUGGAAGUGGAAUGUUGGCACGGGUUUCAGAGCAAGGGCUCUGAAGCCACGUGGCCCUGGGUUUGAAUGGUAAAUAUACUUUUAAUGUGAUCUUGAGAAUUUUUCUUCAAUCUCUGUAGCUCUAUUUUCUUACCUCUAAUAGGCCUAUGGCAAGGAUUAGAUGAAAUUAGCACAAAGUGGGAUCUUCCAACCCCUCCUCCUGGUCUUAGGGUACCUGGGGGCAGGCUAAAAGUAGGUUCUCCGACACCCCUAAGACCUGCUAAGUCAGACCCCCGGGGGUGGGGGGCAGUGCAGCCAGCCAGGCCUGGGAAGCCCGGGCCAGGCCGCGUGCCUCCCCAGCAUUCUCCAGCACCUGCACUGCAGCUGGGCUCCCUGGCCUGGAGCCCCGGGUGUUAUCCCCGACCACCACGGUGCGGUGCUGGUGCUGGGCGACUCACACUGCUAGCUGUGCCCUGAGCAAAGCCUCCGUGAUGGUUGUGCGCUGAAUGAAUUGUGUCCUCCAGAUUCAUCAGUUGCAGGCUGAACUCCCAGGACCUCAGAAUGUGGCUUUAUGCCGAGCUGGGGGCUCCACGGCGGCCAUUAAGGUAUAAUGAGGUCAUGUGGGUGGGCCCUGAUCCAGCAGGACUGGUGUCCUUACAAGAAGAGGAGGACACAGCCGUGCACGCAGGGACAGUCAGGUGAGGGCACGGGGAGAAGACGGGAGCUAAGCUGAGGAGAGAGGCCCCAGGCAGAAGCAGACCUGCCUAGAUCUCGCGCUGUGGCCGCCAGGACUGGGAAACGCAGACGCCCGCUGCUGAGCCCCCGGUCCGCGGAGCUGUGUUGUGGCUGCGGAGCUGACAAGGAUACGGAUCCUCCCUGGCUUUGCCUGAGGCCGCCCGUGAAGUCCAUUUACCCGCCUCGUCUUGCCGGUCCCCAGGCCCCCGGGCACGGGUUCCCCUUCGGCUUCUUGCAGUAGCUGCAGCCCUGGAAGCUGCUGGGAGGAGGCGGCUGGGGCUGGGCAGGGCUCGGAGCUGACUUCCUGUCACCCGAGCGAGCUGCACAAAAGUCCCAAAGGCCACCCUUUCUACGUGUGCUGAUGGUCACUCGGCAAUUCCCAGGCACUGAUUUUGUGUCUGGGAAGAUCACCGUGGCCCCCACGGACAAAAGCUGCUGCUCUCCUGGGUCCCCCUGGAACCAAAGGCCCCAGAGAACCUGUGGGGCUUCCAGAGGCAGGCCCGGCCCUGGGUGGAGAGGAGAGGAGCAGGGCACCCGACCCCUGCGCCGUGGUGGGAAUGCGGGGAGCACAGCCCCCCGGGGCGCCCCCAUCCCUCGCGGUGCACCGGAGCCUGACCCCGGAGCUGCCUUCAACGCCAGCCUGCACGCGACUCUCUCCGAGCUGAUUUCUGCGGCUCCCGCUGCCCUUGGCUGGCUCACUGGUUCUUUCGAAGCCUGUCCAGUGUCCCCCCAGCCCCCCGGACCCCGCUCCACCUCUCCUCUAAAGAGGAAGCCAAGAGUUGGUUCGCAGCCUCUCUCGGCGCCACGUCAGCCCGGGAAGUGUUUUCAGCUCCCGGGGCUCCUCAGGGUGCCUUUGCAACUCACAGUCCCAGGGCGUGCAAUCGUCCUCCAGGCACCAGGGCCCAGCCCAGCCCGGAGGCCUCAGACCUGGCCAGAGCUGGGCCUUUGCUGCCAUCUGCUGGCGGCUCUCGGAUGACAGGUUGAAGGCCUGAGGAGUGGCCUCCCCGGGCCGGUCCAGUUCAAGUUCAGCAGGGGACAAGGCCUGAACUCUGCAUUCCUGAGCAGCUCCGGGGGAAGCCCAGGUGCUGGCCACGUGACAGUUCUGCUGCGCUCAGAUCUCGGACUGCAGAGGCCGACCUAAGAGUUUCCGCUGCUUGGGAACCUGUGGCCACGUGGCCUGGUCUGGGUUUCACAGGUGUGGCCUCUUGGGGACCCUCUGACUGACCAUCUCAUUUCCCUUUGGCUGAAGCCCAAGAGGUUCCUGCGACCUGUCCAGGGUCACAGAGCUGGUUCCUGAAUAAUUGGGAAGAGAUGCACCCCUUCCACGGCCCAGAAAUGUUUUCCAAAGACUGUUCAAGAAAGGUGGAUUGGCGAGUCGUUAAGGCCAGCGUAGUGAGAAAGGACCUCUCCAAAGAGCGUCAUGAAGACUCCGCAUCCAGGUGUCUCCGGAGGAAAGAUGCUUACACGGGGCCACCGUCCCUCUGCAGAGCCCAAGCCCUAUACACGCUGCUGACCCCAGGCACGGCCUGAGCGAGGGCCCUGGAUGCCUUCCAAUCCCGGAGGAAAAGGGGCUGGAGAAGCAUCGCUUGACUCUUUCUUCAAUUUACACAAAGCAGGAAAGAUAUUUAGCAAACUAGGCAUCACAUUCUAAACAUGCUCAACAGAGAGGCCCAAAUACGCUCUGCUAAUGUUAUGACUCUUGAUUAACCCGAUUUAUCAGUGUCUGGUUCAGAGGAGCCCCAGAGAAAGCCCUUUCUGCAAAGAAGAGGCUUCUGCAGAGCGUGUCUUCCUUGAGGACCCUCUAGGCCAGCAGCCCCCACAGCCUCCGCGCAGCACCGCAGCCCUCCCGUUUACACGCCAUUCCCCCGGGAGCAUGGGUCAGCGAGGGACGGGGUCCUUUCCACAGUGACGGCAAAUUCCUGCUCUGGAGGAAAAAAGCAGCUUUUUCUCCAACAGAAGUGAACCCAGGCUGUCCCACGGUGGCGGGUUGUGGGAUUCUGGGUGCCCCCAGCCCCUCCGGCUCGCUGCCCCGCUGGGCCCUCGCGUGGCUGGGGUGAGCCAGCUCUCUGCCUGUGUCGCUGUCCCUGCCCGUACGGAUCAUUCCUGCCUAUAAAUCCACGGUGACUCUAUUGGUGUGGAUUUUCUCCACUGGCCUCUGAGCUCCUUGUGGAAAGGACGGUGUCCUCUUUACCUGUUCGUUUCUAGUUUGUGUUACACUGCUGUGCUCCGGGCAGAUGUUCAAUGUAUAUUUGCUGAAUAGACGAGUGAAUGAACAGUAAGGGAAACUCUGAAUUGUACCCUCAGCUCUUUCCCACAGCGGAAUGAGGAGGUUGGACUGCACACGGCGAGGAUGCCACGUGGCCCAGAAUUCCGGGAGGGAAGUCUCCGGCUGUCGUCUACACCCGGCGACAAGUGUUCCCAGGUACACAGGGCUGCGGAGUAACUGUGAGAUUCUGGGCCUCUCUUUCCUUCUGACACUGGUUAAAUGCCUCAGUGACCUGACAGUUUCUGGCUAUCUUCAGCUUCCCAGCUCAUGCGUACACUCGCUGUGUCAGUCAGGACAACCUAGCAAACGCUGCAGUGACAAGGGACCUGCAGGGCUUAGAGCCUUAACGAGGGCUUCCUUCUUACCUGUGCUCACUGCUCCCCAGUGCCGGCCUGGGGCUCUGCUCUGCCUCCUCUGGGAAAGACUGACCGAGUCGCCAUCGGGAUGGCUGACAGUUUUGUGGCUGAGAGAAAGAGACACUGGAGGCUGUGGAACAACCACUGAGAUGUUCCAGCUCAGGGUCUGUCCCACGACUCCCAUCCCAGGGCAGUGUCUGGAAAUGGUUCUUCAACCACAGUGGCCACGGAGUGCCACCCUCCCACAGGGCCCGGAAGGCUCAGGCCAAGCAGCCCUACUCACCGUCUCUCUUGCCCCUGCCCCGUCUCCUAGCACCCAGCUGGGAUGGCCGUCGAGCAAUGCCCUUGGACUCUGCUCUGGAUAAUGACCUUCUCACUAUGGUGACUUAAGCCGGCCCCUGUCCCUACACACUUUGGCGCACUCCCAUCUCCGCCCUGGGCCAGGCCCCCGUCCACUCUCCUCUUCACCAGUGUGGGCCCAUCCUGGCCUCACCGCUGCUGGGGUAGCGGCUUGGCUUCACACCCUCUCCAGGUGGCUUGGCUGUCUGUUUCCCUGUUUUCUUUCUUUUUUUUUUUGAGGAGUCUUGCCCUGUUGCCCAGGCUGUGCAGUGGUGUGAUCUUGGCUCACUGCAAUCUCCGUCUCCUGGGUUCAAACGAUUCUCCUGCCUCCUCUUGAGUAGCUGGGAUUACAGGCAUGUACCACCACACCCAGAUAAUUUUGGUAUUUUUAAUAGAGAUGGGGUUUCACCAUGUUGGCCAGGCUGGUCUCAAACUGCUGACCUCAGGUGAUCCACCCGCCUUGGCCUCCUAGACUGCUGGGAUUAGAGGCGUGAGCUACUGCGUCCAGCCCUCUCUUUCCCUAUUCUAAGGUGAGAUUGGUCCUGAGGGCAGCCCUGUGCUGGGUCUGGGAUGGGAUUUUGCCUGUUUUACAGACCUGCGACUGCCGCAUGGAUGCUGGCAGAAGACAUGAGAUCCCUGGUCAGAGACUGGGCACCUUGUUACUCCCCACACAGCAGGCAGCACGACCAUUGCAUAUUUGAGUCACUUUCCCCGGCCCCCAGGUCCCCGGGGUGGUGCAAGCUGCCCGGGUGGAUGCUGCUCAUUUGAUAGGUUGCAUCACAGGACGGGGAUAGCUGAGGGUAAGUCAUGUUCUAGCAAGCAGAAUCGGGUGGCCUUCUGGCCCAAAGAAAGGCAUGAUCCCAUUAUUCAAGGUGACUCGCUGCAAGCCGAAUCGUGAGAAGUGGCCAGAGCGAGGAGUGGCCAGGGCCCCGCAUUUGUGGCUCGCCCAGCCGGCUGCGUAGGCGUGUGCAGACCCAUGUUGGAGGCAGUCUUCCUACACACCCCAGACCGUGAUUACUCCCAGUCUGCCUGCAACUUCCCUUGAAUCUCUCGGGCCUGUCUGGUUUAUUACUCCAAUUUUCUUUUUAGCCUUUAGGUCACAAAGUUCAUAGUUGGACAAAAUCAUAUUUAUCACAAUCUGAUACUGAUGAUGGGAUACAUCAUCACAGGAUGAUGGUUUCAGCCUGAUUCCUGUAGCAAAACGGACUCUUAGGUUCCUCACAUGCUGGCAAGGGGACGGGACGCUCAGAAGAGCCUGGAAUUGGGGUGCAGCUGGGCCUCACAGGACCUGGAAUGGAAUUUGAGACAUGCUCUGCCACCUGCUGUGUGCUGGGUGGGACCCUCCCGUGGGACCACCCUCACCCCAUCGCACCUCACCCCACCCAGCCACCGCCCAUCACCGGAGCAGCUUGUCCGGGGUCUGUUCAGCACCUAUGAGAUGGCCUGACUUGAAGAUAUUGCUCAGAGGCUGUGACUGGUUGGAAAGGCUGGGGUAGGGUGCGGCAGAGACAGGUGGGUCAGACCAGGCAGGAGAGAGCUCAAGGGAGGAGCUGGACCAGCUGCAGCUUCUACAAACCACACCGGCUUCUCCGCACAUGGCCCUAGUGCUUGUCCCUGCCCUUCGAGUCAACAGCAGGCCUGGGGUGGUCCCCAGCACCUCCAGGAUUCCUACCAAGGAAGAGAAACUGCAGCUGAGCAGGGCCACCGUGAAUGAGGAAACCCUGUCCAUCCACCCAGGGUCGACAUGCCGUGAGUGGUUCCUGCAUGCUGGAGAAACCAACGCACGCUCUCUCGCCUCUGGGGGUGUGCUGAAAGGCAGGUGACAGUGACGUUAUAAAAUUGGAGGGGUGCCCUGUCACCUCCAGACAACAUACAACUCACUUGCACGUUAAGCCCAACUGGCCACAGGUCACCUGAGCCCCACCUGAGGAGGGGUCACUGGUGGGUCAAUAUACUGGGUUUGAAAUCACUUUUCCAGUCAAAUUCUCUCUCUUGCUCCACAGAGGACUUGGAGGUUUGAUGCCUGAGAAUGGGCAGCAUCUUUCUCACGGGAGUGAAAGAACCAGCGAGGCAGCUCCAGUAGAGCCAUAGGCAGGCCCCCCCAGGCAUGGGUGGGGCAGGACAGGAGGGAGGAGGGGCAGCCAAGGACCUGGGAACACAGGCCCCACGGCAGCUGCAGUGGCCCCAGGAGGGCUGGCAGGGCCACUUCCUGCAGGGUGGGUGUGAAGAGGAGAGUUUGCCAACCAGGAAUGAGACCUUCCCCAGCUUCCAGGGUGUGCCCCUCCCUCUCUCCUCCAUCCUCCCCGCUGUGGAAGGAUGUCUGGGAGGGCAGGUGACCCUGUCGCCUGUUUGCUUCACAUGCGUUCCCCUUCGUGUGGCAGAUCUCCCUGCAGGAGUGGAAAGGGUGGCAGUGCUGCCUUUCAGGGCCAGGGAAAAGCGUAGGAACCCAAACAGGUAGAGUGGGAAAUGGCGUUUGCCACUGUCUGCCCCCAGCCUUCGUGUUGCCAAGAAGAAGAACAGGGUGGGAGGCCGAGGUGGUUGCUCAAGGUCACAAAGAGGGUGAGUGGGGGAAGGCGGACCCCCAACCCUGGCAGAGAUCAGGGGUGUGAAGAGGGUCCAGAUGGGGAAGGGGUGUGGAAGAGUAGGAUCAAGUGUUCCUUGUGCACACUGUCGGUGGGAAUGUGGACCAGGGCAGCCACCAUAGGGAAUGCUGUGGAGGUUCCUCAAACAUUUAAAAAUAGAACUACCUACCACCCAGCCAUCCCAAUUCUGGGUAUUGACCCAAAAUAAUUGCAGUCAGUAUUUUGAAGAGGUGUCUGCACCCCAAGUUCAUUGCAGCACUAUUCACAAUAGCCAAGUAGUGCAAGCAACCUCCAUGUCCAUCAACAAAUGAAUGAAUAAAGAGUCCAGGCCAUCAUCACACCACGGAGUACUACUCAGCCAUGAAAAAGAGGAAACCCUGUCAUUAGUGACAGCAUGGAUGAACCCAGAGGACAUUAUGUUCCAUGAGGUAAGCAGAAAGGCAGACACUGCAUGGUCUCCCGUCUACAAGGAAUCUGAAACAGUCAAGCUCAUAGAAGCAGCGAGGAGGGUGGGGGUCUCCAGGGCUGGAGGAGGGGAAGCAGGGGUAGAAUACAGUUUCCAUUAUGCACGACGAGUAGGUUCCAGAGAUCUGCUGUUCAACACAGUGCGUCUACUUAACACUAAUCAUGAGAAAAGAUCGGCUGCACUCAGGAGCACCUGCUUCUGGGUCUGAUGGGCAGUCGUGAGGCUGGUUCCCAGAAUCGGACCUGAGCUGUAUGGGAGGCGCUGGUGCAGUUCGGCCCCAGCUGUUGUGCCUGAAGUGGGUCCCCAGGAGGCUCAGAGCGGGAAGAGGUGGAGGGCAGGGCUGGCUCGUCCUGAGCCCAGGAGGCUCAGUAUCCAGGGCCCCCCCCCCAUAACCACUGUAAGGGGCUGGGAGCAUCAUUUAAUUUCCAUUAAAAUCUAAAGAAAAAAAAAUUAAUGUUUACAUUGAAGAAGCUUUUAACAUAUAAUAUUAAUAACCAUAAUUACUAACAUAACAGUAAUAAUAUCUUUAUAUCACUGCAGUCAUAAAAUACAAUUUUAAACCAUUUUUACGGAGGAAGAAAUCCAAGAAAGUGACCGGCACCCCGACCCAGGUCCAGCCUUGGAUCCACUCCCGUGGUCCGUCUGGCCUGGAGCUGGCCCUUUAAUCUCUCUGCCUCCUUUGCAUCUUGUAGAAUGAGGAGGAUGACUUUGCCCUGACCUUCUUCCUUUGCUCCGGUGUGCGUGCCGCGGGUGACAUUGCAGCCGGGCAAUGGGGCAGGGCUGCUUUGUGUCUACACGUGACUCUCAAGUCUCCCUAAGCUGCUUUCUUUCUCUCACAGGCCCAGGACAGGGGUUCUCACCCCACAGGUGGAGGCGUUGUGGGAUACAAUACAGGGUGACCUGUUAUAUUUGAAUUUCCGAUGAACACAAUUAACUUUUUAGGAUACAUGUGUCCCCACAUGACAGGAGACGGACUAAAAAAUUAUUUGUAAUAUAUGCAAAAUUCACACAACUGGGUGUCUUGUGUUUUCAUUUGUUGCCUUUGGCAACCAUACAUUUGGAGACAUUUUUGAUUGUCAUGACUUCGGGGUGGGGGUGCCCCUGGCACUUAGUGGGUGGAGGUCAGGGACGCUGCCACACAUCCCACAGUGCCCAGGACAGAAACGUCUGCCGAGCCCGAAAACUGCUGCCUACAAGUAGAGGUGACAGGCGAAUGCACCAUCUGUCCUUACUUGAGUUCUUUCCUUCGCAGGCAGGGGAUGAGACCGCGUGAUGCUCACGGCCCCGCCAAUCUCCAUGAGGCCACGACGGAAGCUGGAAAGGCCUGGCGUGGAAAAUGCCUCACCCUGCUCCUGUCUGAGGGUUCAGCUCUGCCUGUGCAGGCCCCAGUCAAGACGUGGGGUGUUCCUGGGUUCCCGCAGGUGCCAUAGGGCCUGAGCUGCCACCCGACCUUGCCCUGCCAGCACCCACAGACGUGACGGGCUUGUUCUUGAACGCCAGGGCCACAGUGUGUCCUUCAUUCCCUCGCAGGGGCUGGUUCCACGCUCACCCCUUCUGGCCCACAGCGCCCCCUGCUGGUCAUUUGAUCAAAGCCGCUCUCGUUGACUUGCUCCUACAUGCAAAUCACCACCAAACUCCCUUUGGCCCUUGUGGUUUAAUACAUCUGGUUACUUUAUUCAGUGUAGCCACAUGAGCGUGCAUGUCCUGAUCUUAAAUAAAACUAUCCAAGUGGCAGCUCAUUAAUCCAAGAGUACCUGUUUUAGUCAGGUUCUCCGGGAAACAGAACCGUUAGGGUGGUUCUCUCACAUAUAUGAGAGAGGGAUUAAUGUUAAAAAAUUGGUUUUCAUGCCUGUAAUCCCAGCACUUUGGGAGGCUGAGGCAGGUGGAUCACCUGAGGUCAGGAGUUCGAGACCAGCCUGACCAACAUGGUGAAACCCCAUCUCGACUAAAAAUACAAAAAUUAGCCGGGUGUGGUGGUGCGUGCCUGUAAUCCCAGCUACUCAGGAGGCUGAGGCAGGAGAAUUGCUUGAACCCUGGAGGCAGAGAUUGCAGUGAGCCAAGGUUGCAUCACUGCACUCCAGCCUGGGCGACAGGGAGAGACGCUGUCUCAAAAAAAAAAAAAGAAAAGAAAAGAAAAAGAAAAAAGAAUUUGGUUUAUGUGGUUGUGGAGGCUGGUAAAAAUCUGCAAGGUAGAGCAGCAGGCUGGGGACCCAAGGAAGGGCUGGUGCUGUAGCUCGGGUCCAAAGGCUGUGGACUGGCAGGACUCCCUCUUCUUUGGGGAGGUCAGUCUUUCUCUGGAGGCCUCAGCUGAUUGGAUGAGCUCCUCAUACACUAUGGAGGGUGAUCUGCUUGAUGCAACAUCUACUGAUUUCAAUGUCAACCUCAUCUAGAAAAUAUUUUCACAGUGACAUCUAGAGUGGUGUGUAACCAAAUAUCCGGGCACUGUGGCCUAGCCGAAUUGUCGUGUACAAUUAGCCAUCACGAUGCCUGUUUGUUAUUCUACACUGUACUUCUGUCCACAGCAGCAGGGCCGUGUGCAAGGUGCCCACCAGCUGACUGCCGUCCCUGGAGCACGCCCUCACGGAUGAGAGUAGCCGGUGGUCACUUUGGAGAGCAGUGGUCCUGCCAGAGAGAACAGGACCACAGGCGGGACGUUUCACCGAGGACAGAGCCGGGCAGUGUCUGGAGCCUGAGGGGCGUGGUGGCCGGGCGUCAGUGAGUUCUGGAAACAGGAAGGCCGAUGCCAGCGUGCCACUGAGAAGGUCAUCUAAGUCCAGCUCAAGGUCAUCAAAACCCACGGUUGCUGCAGUCAUAGAAGAGGACCCCAAGCAGUGGAUUAGUUCUGCCUUCUUCCGCCAAGCGAGUAAACAUCUCAUUCACAGAACAAUUGACUUUCAGACAAUAUUAAGAUUUCCAUAAAAAUGGCUAUUUGGAAAAACACACAUCUGGUCUGAAACAUAAAACUCCAGCAGUCUUGGUGCAGUUAAAAACAGAAUUUGGAGACA